AAUGACUUCUAUAUAAUAAAAAUGGAGUUAUUAUUAACAAAUUAGUUAAUUAUUAGGUUCACGCGUGAAAAACAAAUAAAAUAAUAAUAAACAGAAUGGCUUUUUCUGAUUGGAAGAAUGCUCGUAAUAGGUCGGUGCAGAAACGCGGUAGCCGCCGCUCUGAUCACUUAUCUGAACCCGAAAUUGGUUGGUCUGGCCGGUUUGCUGGGCUUCUUCAAACAUUCCCAGCAGUCAGCGUUCAGCAAAGCAGUCUUGCAAAUUUUUUAAAUAAAUUUAGUCAAUUAUAUUUUUUUAAGUAUUUUUUUUUCUUUAA
rnacentral:misc_RNA from 1 species